rnacentral:lncRNA from 1 species
AAGAUCCAUCAGGCUCCUUGUUGAGAAUGAGUUCUAGGGUAUUAAAGACGUAAUCAGUUAGACCAGCUGGAGGCUUUCUCAUUAAUGCAGUCAAGAGACGGUGGUUUCAAUGAAGAAUAGUAAAGGAGGAGAAAGCUUUUGGGAAUUGGGAACUGAAGACCGACCGAGAAGAAGCAAAUGCUGGCAACGGUCCCAAGAGUAGCUUCAGGAUGAUCCCAGAGGGAAAUCCUGGAGGGUUUGACUAUGAAUAGCUCAGUCUUACUGGAGGAUCUCAAUCUUGCUGGAGGGUCUCAAUUCUACUGGAAAGCUUCAGAGAAAACAGGACUCCUGGAGUCUAUCGCUGAAUAGCUCUCCGGCUUCCUGCCUGGAGAAAACUCUUCUUUGAAAGGACUAAUGUGAUUAGCUCAGGCCCACCCAAAUGAUCUACUAUAAGGCCAAUUGAUUUGAAGCCUUAAUUAUAUCUGCAAAAUCCCUUUUGAUCUGUAACAUAUCCUAAUCACAGGAGUGAAAUUCAUCGUAUUCAAAAAUGGGGAUUAUUCAAGGCAUGUUCACCGGGAAGCAGUAAAUUCUGAGGGUUAUCACAUGGCUAUCUCAAAUCCAUUGUAUAAGAAAGUAUAAUGCUUUGAAUUGUCAUAAGUAUGUAGAGAGUGUUUGGAAAUAUGCAUAAUUUUCUGUGUAAAUCAUUAAAACUAUUGAGUCAAAACAUAUUUCUUAUUUUGAAAUGGUAAAAACAAAUUAACUGAGUUUCUCUAAAGGCAUAAAACACAGGAGUAUCAGAAGAGAAAUUAAAUUUAAAAUUAUGACAAAUAUAGAUUAAUAUAUCAGAUCAAUAAAGCAAUUUACUUGGAAACCUCGCAAAAGUAUAUUCUAUCAUGCUAAGAGCAAUCAGAAUGUAAAGAAUUCAGAUCAAAGAAAAAAUAAACACAUUUUUAAAGAUUUUAGAAACUGUUUAAAAGAAUUCAUGAAUAUGAAAGAUCAACAGAGGCAAACACAUUCCAUGUCAUUAAAAAACAGUUUAAAGGAUUACAGGGACUCUUAAGGUUUAAAGACACACCUUCAAAGCGUUUGGUGAAUAUUCUAAAUGCUACAGGCAAACCGAAUUUACUCCAUUCAAUAAAAAGGAGCGGAGUUCUAU